rnacentral:rRNA from 1 species
GACGUAGGAUGCAAGCGUUGUCCGGAAUUAUUGGGCGUAAAGAGUUCGUAGGCGGUUAUUUAAGUCUGGUGUUAAAGACGGGAGCUUAACUCCCGCAUGGCACUGGAAACUGGAUGGCUAGAGUGUGGUAGAGGUCUCGGGAAUUCCAGGUAUAGCGGUGAAAUGCGUAGAUAUCUGGAGGAACACCGGUGGCGAAAGCGCGAGACUGGGCCAUAACUGACGCUGAGGAACGAAAGCCAGGGGAGCAAAAGGG